rnacentral:tRNA from 1 species
GGGUCAAUGGCGCAGUUGGUUAGCGCAGUGGAUUUUUAAUCCAUUGGUCCUGAGUUCGAGUCUCAGUUGACCCA